rnacentral:rRNA from 1 species
UACGAAGGGGGCUAGCGUUGCUCGGAAUCACUGGGCGUAAAGCGCACGUAGGCGGAUCUUUAAGUCGGGGGUGAAAUCCUGGAGCUCAACUCCAGAACUGCCUUCGAUACUGAGGAUCUCGAGUCCGGGAGAGGUGAGUGGAACUCCGAGUGUAGAGGUGAAAUUCGUAGAUAUUCGGAAGAACACCAGUGGCGAAGGCGGCUCACUGGCCCGGUACUGACGCUGAGGUGCGAAAGCGUGGGGAGCAAACAGG